GGGCACGUAGCUCAGUGGGAGAGCGCUGCCUUCACACGGCAGAGGUCGGCGGUUCGAUACCGUCCGUGCCCACCG
rnacentral:tRNA from 1 species